CUUGCCGGAUGGGUAGUCGCCCCUGAUUCAGGGGAGGAAAGUCCGGUCUCCACAGGGCAGCGUGCCGGCUAACGGCCGGGGGGGUCCGCUCAAAGCGGGCUUUACGGAAAGUGCCACAGAAAAUAUACCGCCUUAGUGGUGGGACAGGCUUCAGCCUGUCACGACGGGUAGGGUUGAAGCCUGCCCCACCACUAGGGUAAGGGUGAAAUGGUGCGGUAAGAGCGCACCGCGGCCGGAGUAAUUCGGCUGGCAGGGCAAACCCCACGCGGAGCAAGACCAAAUAGGGGAGGAGGAGCGGCCCGCUCCGUUCGACUCUCGGGUAGGUCGCUAGAGCCACCUAGCAAUGGGUGGCCCAGAGGAAUGGCUGCCGCCCGCAAGGGUACAGAAACCGGCUUAUAAAUCCGGCAAGUUAC
rnacentral:RNase_P_RNA from 1 species